rnacentral:rRNA from 1 species
UACGGGGGGGGCAAGCGUUGUUCGGAAUUACUGGGCGUAAAGGGCUCGUAGGCGGCCAACUAAGUCGGAUGUGAAAUCCCCAGGCUUAACCUGGGAACUGCAUCCGAUACUGGAUGGCUUGAAUCCGGGAGAGGGAUGCAGAAUUCCAGGUGUAGCGGUGAAAUGCGUAGAUAUCUGGAGGAAUACCGGUGGCGAAGGCGGCAUCCUGGACCGGCAUUGACGCUGAGUGAGCGAAAGCGUGGGUAGCAAACAGG